rnacentral:rRNA from 2 species
AUUGAAGAGUUUGAUCAUGGCUCAGAUUGAACGCUGGCGGCAGGCCUAACACAUGCAAGUCGAACGGUAACAGGAAGCAGCUUGCUGCUUCGCUGACGAGUGGCGGACGGGUGAGUAAUGUCUGGGAAACUGCCUGAUGGAGGGGGAUAACUACUGGAAACGGUGGCUAAUACCGCAUAACGUCGCAAGACCAAAGAGGGGGACCUUCGGGCCUCUUGCCAUCAGAUGUGCCCAGAUGGGAUUAGCUUGUUGGUGAGGUAACGGCUCACCAAGGCGACGAUCCCUAGCUGGUCUGAGAGGAUGACCAGC